rnacentral:lncRNA from 1 species
GCCUGCUGGUCUGCUGGCGGGCAGGCGGCGCUGGGCCGGAGCCUCUCCCUCCGGUGCGCACAGCGCACCCUCUCCUCCCCCGGCCGCCCGUCGCAGCGCGGAGAGGGCGUGUCGGCACCCUGCCUGGCGAGCGCCCACCCCUACAAUGGCUGCGAGCGCGCGGGACGGAGGGUGCACCGCCGCUCCCCGGGGACUUGCACGGGUGGCGCGCCUAGCCCAGAGCCCGCUUGUAGUGAGCGCUCAGUAGGGCGGGAAAGCUGCUGCCGCUACUGCGGCCUUCUGAGAAGACGCCCAUUCUCUGAUGUCAGGACUGCAUCGCCGAGUCCUGAUUGCAAAUAGCGAAAUAUAUAAUUAAGGAGAGUUCGGGGGCGUAUCCUGCAAUGGGAUGCCGAGUUCGAUAAAGUUGCAGGAUGCUGGGAAAGUGGAUUGAUUUGCUGUUGCUAAAUGAAUGGAAACAGCGUUAGAGCUUCUGUCCACGAUCCAUCAGUCUAUCGAGAUUGCUGAUUGCCUAUGACUUGGACGGUUGAUGGUUUUCAGGCCCACUGAGAGCAGCCAGCGUUGGUAUAACCGCAGGGAGCCCUCCUGGGAGGUUGAACCUGCAGAGCGCAAAUGUGCCCAGGUUGAUUUGGGGCCUAGUGGUCCAUUUUCACAGCUCCACUGCCUAUCUGCAUAACCAGGAGCCCUCAUUCAGAUGAACGCCAAAUGGGCCAGAGGGAGGAGAAUCAAAUGAGCAACUUUUAAAAGAUAUUAAGACAUAGGCACCUAACUCCGGACAGUUCCUUUAACCCUUGAGCUAACCAUUUGAAGCACAAAACAUAACAAAAGAAAAGACUGGGGGGAGUGGGGCCAAAAGAAACCAAGUGCAAAAUUCUGUACACUUGUGUCAGAUUCACUCCGUAAUGGGAAAAGGUCUGGCUUUGAAAACUUUAUGGAUCAAAGGGAUGCAUGGAGUUACACAGCACAGCUGCAGAAGAUAAUGUUCCCCUGGAUCACUCUGCCCAACUCUUAACUGCAACCCACCUUCCCCAUCCGUCUCCCCGAAAUCACCCGGAAGGGUGUUACCUUCAGGAAGUAACUGAUCUCUUGAUCACCCCUGCUGGAUCCUGUCCCCAAGGGCGUUCGAAUGCAUCCGACUCAUCUUCACCUUGCCAAUAACGGGUGCUUGACACAUCGUUUGCUGCCAAUCAUUAUUGUGAUUUUAAUACUAUUGGUAUUCUAACUAUCAAGAUGACUGCUUGUAGAGCCAGAUUGCCUGGAUUCAAACUCCAGUUCACAACCUACUAACUGUAUGCCUUUAGGUAAACUCAGAUGCCUCUGAUGGAUUCGAAAUAACCAGAUAUAUUUCUGAAUUGCUUCAUAUGGUAUUGGGGAUUCUGCAGGAUAUAUGUG